rnacentral:rRNA from 1 species
GGUUAAGCGACUAAGCGUACACGGUGGAUGCCCUGGCAGUCAGAGGCGAUGAAGGACGUGCUAAUCUGCGAUAAGCGUCGGUAAGGUGAUAUGAACCGUUAUAACCGGCGAUUUCCGAAUGGGGAAACCCAGUGUGAUUCGUCACACUAUCAUUAACUGAAUCCAUAGGUUAAUGAGGCGAACCGGGGGAACUGAAACAUCUAAGUACCCCGAGGAAAAGAAAUCAACCGAGAUUCCCCCAGUAGCGGCGAGCGAACGGGGAGCAGCCCAGAGCCUGAAUCAGUGUGUGUGUUAGUGGAAGCGUCUGGAAAGGCGCGCGAUACAGGGUGACAGCCCCGUACACAAAAAUGCACAUACUGUGAGCUCGAUGAGUAGGGCGGGACACGUGGUAUCCUGUCUGAAUAUGGGGGGACCAUCCUCCAAGGCUAAAUACUCCUGACUGACCGAUAGUGAACCAGUACCGUGAGGGAAAGGCGAAAAGAACCCCGGCGAGGGGAGUGAAAAAGAACCUGAAACCGUGUACGUACAAGCAGUGGGAGCACGCUUAGGCGUGUGACUGCGUACCUUUUGUAUAAUGGGUCAGCGACUUAUAUUCUGUAGCAAGGUUAACCGAAUAGGGGAGCCGAAGGGAAACCGAGUCUUAACUGGGCGUUAAGUUGCAGGGUAUAGACCCGAAACCCGGUGAUCUAGCCAUGGGCAGGUUGAAGGUUGGGUAACACUAACUGGAGGACCGAACCGACUAAUGUUGAAAAAUUAGCGGAUGACUUGUGGCUGGGGGUGAAAGGCCAAUCAAACCGGGAGAUAGCUGGUUCUCCCCGAAAGCUAUUUAGGUAGCGCCUCGUGAAUUCAUCUCCGGGGGUAGAGCACUGUUUCGGCAAGGGGGUCAUCCCGACUUACCAACCCGAUGCAAACUGCGAAUACCGGAGAAUGUUAUCACGGGAGACACACGGCGGGUGCUAACGUCCGUCGUGAAGAGGGAAACAACCCAGACCGCCAGCUAAGGUCCCAAAGUCAUGGUUAAGUGGGAAACGAUGUGGGAAGGCCCAGACAGCCAGGAUGUUGGCUUAGAAGCAGCCAUCAUUUAAAGAAAGCGUAAUAGCUCACUGGUCGAGUCGGCCUGCGCGGAAGAUGUAACGGGGCUAAACCAUGCACCGAAGCUGCGGCAGCGACGCUGAUGCGUUGUUGGGUAGGGGAGCGUUCUGUAAGCCUGCGAAGGUGUGCUGUGAGGCAUGCUGGAGGUAUCAGAAGUGCGAAUGCUGACAUAAGUAACGAUAAAGCGGGUGAAAAGCCCGCUCGCCGGAAGACCAAGGGUUCCUGUCCAACGUUAAUCGGGGCAGGGUGAGUCGACCCCUAAGGCGAGGCCGAAAGGCGUAGUCGAUGGGAAACAGGUUAAUAUUCCUGUACUUGGUGUUACUGCGAAGGGGGGACGGAGAAGGCUAUGUUGGCCGGGCGACGGUUGUCCCGGUUUAAGCGUGUAGGCUGGUUUUCCAGGCAAAUCCGGAAAAUCAAGGCUGAGGCGUGAUGACGAGGCACUACGGUGCUGAAGCAACAAAUGCCCUGCUUCCAGGAAAAGCCUCUAAGCAUCAGGUAACAUCAAAUCGUACCCCAAACCGACACAGGUGGUCAGGUAGAGAAUACCAAGGCGCUUGAGAGAACUCGGGUGAAGGAACUAGGCAAAAUGGUGCCGUAACUUCGGGAGAAGGCACGCUGAUAUGUAGGUGAAGUCCCUCGCGGAUGGAGCUGAAAUCAGUCGAAGAUACCAGCUGGCUGCAACUGUUUAUUAAAAACACAGCACUGUGCAAACACGAAAGUGGACGUAUACGGUGUGACGCCUGCCCGGUGCCGGAAGGUUAAUUGAUGGGGUCAGCGCAAGCGAAGCUCUUGAUCGAAGCCCCGGUAAACGGCGGCCGUAACUAUAACGGUCCUAAGGUAGCGAAAUUCCUUGUCGGGUAAGUUCCGACCUGCACGAAUGGCGUAAUGAUGGCCAGGCUGUCUCCACCCGAGACUCAGUGAAAUUGAACUCGCUGUGAAGAUGCAGUGUACCCGCGGCAAGACGGAAAGACCCCGUGAACCUUUACUAUAGCUUGACACUGAACAUUGAGCCUUGAUGUGUAGGAUAGGUGGGAGGCUUUGAAGUGUGGACGCCAGUCUGCAUGGAGCCGACCUUGAAAUACCACCCUUUAAUGUUUGAUGUUCUAACGUUGACCCGUGAUCCGGGUUGCGGACAGUGUCUGGUGGGUAGUUUGACUGGGGCGGUCUCCUCCUAAAGAGUAACGGAGGAGCACGAAGGUUGGCUAAUCCUGGUCGGACAUCAGGAGGUUAGUGCAAUGGCAUAAGCCAGCUUGACUGCGAGCGUGACGGCGCGAGCAGGUGCGAAAGCAGGUCAUAGUGAUCCGGUGGUUCUGAAUGGAAGGGCCAUCGCUCAACGGAUAAAAGGUACUCCGGGGAUAACAGGCUGAUACCGCCCAAGAGUUCAUAUCGACGGCGGUGUUUGGCACCUCGAUGUCGGCUCAUCACAUCCUGGGGCUGAAGUAGGUCCCAAGGGUAUGGCUGUUCGCCAUUUAAAGUGGUACGCGAGCUGGGUUUAGAACGUCGUGAGACAGUUCGGUCCCUAUCUGCCGUGGGCGCUGGAGAACUGAGGGGGGCUGCUCCUAGUACGAGAGGACCGGAGUGGACGCAUCACUGGUGUUCGGGUUGUCAUGCCAAUGGCACUGCCCGGUAGCUAAAUGCGGAAGAGAUAAGUGCUGAAAGCAUCUAAGCACGAAACUUGCCCCGAGAUGAGUUCUCCCUGACUCCUUGAGAGUCCUGAAGGAACGUUGAAGACGACGACGUUGAUAGGCCGGGUGUGUAAGCGCAGCGAUGCGUUGAGCUAACCGGUACUAAUGAACCGUGAGGCUUAACCUUAC